rnacentral:rRNA from 1 species
CCCGACUGCUAUCAGAAUAGGACUAAGCCAUGCGAGUCAACGUAGCAAUACGUGGCAUACGGCUCAGUAACACGUAGUCAACAUGCCCAGGGGACGUGGAUAACCUCGGGAAACUGAGGAUAAACCGCGAUAGGUCAUAAUAUCUGGAAUGAUUUCUGGCUGAAAUCUAUAUGGCCCCUGGAUUGGACUGCGGCCGAUCAGGCUGUUGGUGAGGUAAUGGCCCACCAAACCUAAAACCGGUACGGGCUCUGAGAGGAGAAGCCCGGAGAUGGGCACUGAGACAAGGGCCCAGGCCCUAUGGGGCGCAGCAGGCGCGAAAACUCUGCAAUAAGCGAAAGCUUGACAGGGUUAUUCUGAGUGAUUUCCGCUAAGGAAAUCUUUUGGCACCUCUAAAAAUGGUGCAGAAUAAGGGGUGGGCAAGCCUGGUGUCAGCCGCCGCGGUAAUACCAGCACCCCGAGUGGUCGGGACGAUUAUUGGGCCUAAAGCAUCCGUAGCCGGUUCUACAAGUCUUCCGUUAAAUCCACCUGCUUAACAGAUGGGCUGCGGAGGAUACUAUGGAGCUAGGAGGCGGGAGAGGCAAGCGGUACUUAGUGGGUAGGGGUAAAAUCCGUUGAUCCAUUGAAGGCCACCAGUGGCGAAGGCGGCUUGCCAGAACGCACUCGACGGUGAGGGAUGAAAGCUGGGGGAGCAAACCGGAUUAGAUACCCGGGUAGUCCCAGCUGUAA